rnacentral:lncRNA from 10 species
UGGAAAAAUGCUCAGAUAGUUGUAUAUUUUCUUAUUUCUCCUGAUCUCUUUCACAAAAAAAUAUACUGCAUAUUCUCUUGUUCACCUUGCCUUUUCCAUUUAACAGAAUAUCCUGGAAAUCACUCCCUAUUAAUUCACAGAGAUCUUCAUUUCUCGUAACACUGCAUAGUCUUCCAUAUGUGGAUUUGCGUUUAUUCAAUCACUGUGUUAUGAAUGGGCAAUUAGAUUGUCUUCAACAACCAUUAUAUGCUUCUAACGGAACUACAUACAAUGGGUAACUGUGUAUAUAUUAAUAUAUAUACAUAUAUUCUUAUUUGUUGAAGGUAUAUAUUUAGCAUAAAUUUCUAGAGUGGGAUUGCUGAGUCAGGAGGUAAACACAUAGGUAGCUUUGUUAGAUAUUGCUAAAUGACCCUUCAAAAAAUUUGUAUGAAUUUGCAUUUUCAUCACCAAUAUAUGAGAGAGUCUGUCUUCAACCCAUUCUCACUAACAGAAUAUGUUGUCGUACUUUUUAUUUUUUGCCAAUCUUAUAGAUAACAAAUGGUUUCUCAACGUCAUUUUUAUUUGCAUUCCUAUAAUUAUGAGUCAAGAUGGAUAUCUUUUCAAAUGUAUCUUUUGUGUGUGUGAAUUGUCUAUUCAUGUGUUUUGCCCAUUUUUCUAUUAAGAUUUUGAUUUUCUUUUCCCUUCAAUUAUUUAGAGUUCUUUAUAUGUUAGGAUUAUCACCUCUUUAUCUGUGACAUGUACUGAAAAUACUUUCUCCCAGUUUGUCUUCUGCCUUUUGUUUUUUGCUUGUCGUGUUUUGUGUCAUGCAAACGUGUUGUUAUUUUUUUAAUCUAACCAAUUUACAAAUCUUUUUUUUUUUUUUUUUGCCUCUGGAUACUUACAAAAUCUUUCUUACAUUUGAAGUAUAGAGGAAUUCACCCUUGCUUUCUUCUAACACUUGUCUGGUUUCAUUUGCUUACAUUUUUAUCUCUGAUCCAUUUGGAGUUUAUUCUUGUUAAAAAAAAUUUGGAGUUUUAUCUUUUUCAGGUGGCUAUGGAACUGUACUAGCACCUUUUUAUUGAAAAGGCCUUGUCCUUAUCAUUUGAGCUGUUUCCUUUAUCAUAUACAAAUUUUCCUUAUGUAUUUGCAUCUCUUUUUGGACUUUCUAUCCCAUUCACUGGUGUAUCUGUCUAUUUAUCUGCUAGAUCUGCACUGUUUUAAUUAUACAGACUUUAUAGUAUGUGUUAAUAUCUGAUAGGGCUGGCCUGGCACGGUGGCUCAUGCCUGUAAUCCCAGCACUUUGGGAGGCCGAGGUGGGCGGAUCACGAGGUCAGGAGGUCGAGACCAUCCUGGCUAACAUGGUGAAACCCUGUCUCUAUUAAAAAUGCAAAAAAAAAAAAAAUUAGCAAGGCGUGGUGGUGGGCGCCUGUAGUCCCAGCUACUUGGGAGGCUGAAGCAGGAGAAUGGCGUGAACCCGGGAGGCGGAGCUUGCAGUGAGUCGAGAUCACGCCACUGCACUCCAGCCUGGGUGACAGAGCGAGACUCCAUCUCAAAAAAAAAAAAAAAAAAAGUCUGAUAGG